CUGGUCUAUUUUGGGUCAUUUCACUUAUUUUGGUUAUUUUACAAACAAAAAACAAACAAACCUGGUUUUCUUUCUCAAUAAGGUCAUUUCAUUUGGUAUUUCUGGUCUAUUUUGGGUCAUUUCACUUAUUUUGGUUAUUUUACAAACAAAAAACAAACAAACCUGGUUUUCUUUCUCAAUAAGGUCAUUUCAUUUGGUAUUUCUGGUCUAUUUUGGGUCAUUUCACUUAUUUUGGUUAUUUUACAAACAAACAAACAAACAAACAAACAAACUUGGUUUUCUUUCUACUUGAGGUCAUUUCUUUGGUAUUUCUGGUCUAUUUUGGGUCAUUUCACUUAUUUUGGUUAUUUUACAAACAAACAAACCUGGUUUUCUUUCUCAAUAAGGUCAUUUCAUUUGGUAUUUCUGGUCUAUUUUGGGUCAUUUCACUUAUUUUGGUUAUUUUACAAACAAAAAACAAACAAACCUGGUUUUCUUUCUCAAUAAGGUCAUUUCAUUUGGUAUUUCUGGUCUAUUUUGGGUCAUUUCACUUAUUUUGGUUAUUUUACAAACAAAAAACAAACAAACCUGGUUUUCUUUCUCAAUAAGGUCAUUUCAUUUGGUAUUUCUGGUCUAUUUUGGGUCAUUUCACUUAUUUUGGUUAUUUUACAAACAAAAAACAAACAAACCUGGUUUUCUUUCUCAAUAAGGUCAUUUCAUUUGGUAUUUCUGGUCUAUUUUGGGUCAUUUCACUGAAUUUGGUUAUUUUACAA